GAGCUCCCCAUGCUAUGGGAGGGAGAGUGAGACUGCAAAGGAAACCCAUUCAGUUCCUAGCGCUGCCUAUGGCUGGCGAGCAGAAGAUAAUCUGUGACAAAU
rnacentral:snoRNA from 1 species